AAAACGGAGAGUUUGAUCCUGGCUCAGGAUGAACGCUGGCGGUAUGCUUAACACAUGCAAGUCGAACGGUGUCUUCGGACACAGUGGCGGACGGGUGAGUAACGCGUGAGAAUCUGGCUCUAGGUCUGGGACAACCACUGGAAACGGUGGCUAAUACCGGAUGUGCCGAGAGGUGAAAGGUUAACUGCCUAGAGAUGAGCUCGCGUCUGAUUAGCUAGUUGGAAGUGUAAUGGACUCCCAAGGCGACGAUCAGUAGCUGGUCUGAGAGGACGAUCAGCCACACUGGGACUGAGACACGGCCCAGACUCCUACGGGAGGCAGCAGUGGGGAAUUUUCCGCAAUGGGCGAAAGCCUGACGGAGCAAUACCGCGUGAGGGAGGAAGGCUCUUGGGUCGUAAACCUCUUUUCUCAGGGAAGAACACAAUGACGGUACCUGAGGAAUAAGCAUCGGCUAACUCCGUGCCAGCAGCCGCGGUAAUACGGAGGAUGCAAGCGUUAUCCGGAAUGAUUGGGCGUAAAGCGUCCGCAGGUGGCAAUGUAAGUCUGCUGUUAAAGAGUCUAGCUCAACUAGAUAAAAGCAGUGGAAACUACAUAGCUAGAGUACGUUCGGGGCAGAGGGAAUUCCUGGUGUAGCGGUGAAAUGCGUAGAGAUCAGGAAGAACACCGGUGGCGAAGGCGCUCUGCUAGGCCGUAACUGACACUGAGGGACGAAAGCUAGGGGAGCGAAUGGGAUUAGAUACCCCAGUAGUCCUAGCCGUAAACGAUGGAUACUAGGCGUGGCUUGUAUCGACCCGAGCCGUGCCGUAGCUAACGCGUUAAGUAUCCCGCCUGGGGAGUACGCCGGCAACGGUGAAACUCAAAGGAAUUGACGGGGGCCCGCACAAGCGGUGGAGUAUGUGGUUUAAUUCGAUGCAACGCGAAGAACCUUACCAAGGCUUGACAUGUCGCGAAUCUUCUUGAAAGGGAAGAGUGCCUUCGGGAGCGCGAACACAGGUGGUGCAUGGCUGUCGUCAGCUCGUGUCGUGAGAUGUUGGGUUAAGUCCCGCAACGAGCGCAACCCUCGUUUUUAGUUGCCAGCAUUAAGUUGGGCACUCUAGAGAGACUGCCGGUGACAAACCGGAGGAAGGUGGGGAUGACGUCAAGUCAGCAUGCCCCUUACGCCUUGGGCUACACACGUACUACAAUGCUCCGGACAGAGGGCAGCAAGCAUGCGAAUGCAAGCAAAUCCCGUAAACCGGAGCUCAGUUCAGAUCGCAGGCUGCAACUCGCCUGCGUGAAGGAGGAAUCGCUAGUAAUUGCAGGUCAGCAUACUGCAGUGAAUUCGUUCCCGGGCCUUGUACACACCGCCCGUCACACCAUGGAAGCUGGUAGUGCCCGAAGUCAUUACUCCAACCAUUCGUGGAGGAGGAUGCCUAAGGCAGGACUGGUGACUGGGGUGAAGUCGUAACAAGGUAGCCGUACCGGAAGGUGUGGCUGGAUCACCUCCUUUUU
rnacentral:rRNA from 1 species